UAGCAGAAUCUCGUUGCACGGGCAUAAUUGUUUGAACAGAACCUUUUCCAAAUGAAGUUGUGCCCAUUAUUACCGCACGUUUAUGAUCUUGCAAUGCGCCUGCAACUAUUUCAGAUGCAGAUGCUGACCCUCCAUUUAUUAAAAUAAUAACUGGUAAUCCAUCAGUAAUAUCACCAGAUUUAGCAUUAAAUUUUUGCUGUCCCUUGGCUUUUCUUCCUCUAGUAGAUACUAUUUCUCCCCUAUUUAAAAAAGCAUCAGAUACAGCUACUGCUUGAUUUAAUAGUCCUCCAGGGUUGUUC
rnacentral:ncRNA from 1 species